CAUUAUUCAUCCUUACGAUUUUUGAAUCAAAAAUUGAAAGCUUUAAAUCUUGAGUCUUAUUAAAGGGGUAUGGGCUAGGAAUCAAAAGCCAUGCAGCACUAAGCCAGUCUGAUGGAAUCACAGCCUCCCCCACCUAUUACCACCACAUGUAGGACACACGAAGCAGGCUGAAUAGCUCGACAGGCCGCCUGUCUGGUUUCAUACGAACAUGAAUGAGGCAUGAAAGCCGAAAAGCCAAC